CCUACGGGUGGCAGCAGUGGGGAAUAUUGCGCAAUGGGCGAAAGCCUGACGCAGCGACGCCGCGUGAGGGAUGAAGGUCUUCGGAUUGUAAACCUCUGUUAGCAGGGAAGAACGGUCACUGUGCUAAUCAGCAGUGAAUUGACGGUACCUGCAAAGGAAGCACCGGCUAACUCCGUGCCAGCAGCCGCGGUAAUACGGAGGGUUGGAGCGUUAAUCGGAAUUACUGGGCGGAAAGCGCUCGUAGGCGGUAGGUCAAGUCAAGGGUGAAAUCCCCGCGCUCAACGUGGGAACUGCCUUUGAAACUGGCAAGCUGGAGUGUGUGAGAGGAUAGUGGAAUUCCAGGUGUAGGAGUGAAAUCCGUAGAUAUCUGGAGGAACAUCAGUGGCGAAGGCGACUAUCUGGCACAUAACUGACGCUGAGGAGCGAAAGCGUGGGUAGCAAACAGGAUUAGAUACCCGGGUAGUC
rnacentral:rRNA from 1 species